CCUACGGGGGGCAGCAGUGAGGAAUAUUGGUCAAUGGACGAGAGUCUGAACCAGCCAAGUAGCGUGAAGGAUGACUGCCCUAUGGGUUGUAAACUUCUUUUAUAUGGGAAUAAAAUGUUCCACGUGUGGGAUUUUGUAUGUACCAUAUGAAUAAGGAUCGGCUAACUCCGUGCCAGCAGCCGCGGUAAUACGGAGGAUCCGAUCGUUAUCCGGAUUUAUUGGGUUUAAAGGGAGCGUAGGUGGAUUGUUAAGUCAGUUGUGAAAGUUUGCGGCUCAACCGUAAAAUUGCAGUUGAAACUGGCAGUCUUGAGUACAGUAGAGGUGGGCGGAAUUCGUGGUGUAGCGGUGAAAUGCUUAGAUAUCACGAAGAACUCCGAUUGCGAAGGCAGUUCACUGGACUGCAACUGACACUGAGGCUCGAAAGUGUGGGUAUCAAACAGGAUUAGAUACCCCUGUAGUC
rnacentral:rRNA from 1 species